rnacentral:rRNA from 1 species
UAGGAAUCUUCCACAAUGGACGCAAGUCUGAUGGAGCAACGCCGCGUGAGUGAAGAAGGUUUUCGGACCGUAAAGCUCUGUUGUUGGUGAAGAAGGAUAGAGGUAGUAACUGGCCUUUAUUUGACGGUAAUCAACCAGAAAGUCACGGCUAACUACGUGCCAGCAGCCGCGGUAAUACGUAGGUGGCAAGCGUUGUCCGGAUUUAUUGGGCGUAAAGCGAGCGCAGGCGGAAGAAUAAGUCUGAUGUGAAAGCCCUCGGCUUAACCGAGGAAUUGCAUCGGAAACUGUUUUCUUGAGUGCAGAAGAGGAGAGUAGAACUCCAUGUGUAGCGGUGGAAUGCGUAGAUAUAUGGAAGAAUACCAGUGGCGAAGGCGGCUCUCUGGUCUGCAACUGACGCUGAGGCUCGAAAGCAUGGGUAGCGAACAGGAUUAGAUACCCUGGUAGUCCAUGCCGUAAACGAUGAGUGCUAAGUGUUGGGAGGCUUCCGCCUCUCAGUGCUGCAGCUAACGCAUUAAGCACUCCGCCUGGGGGAGUACGACCGCAAGGUUGAAAC